AUUGAACGCUGGCGGCAGGCCUAACACAUGCAAGUCGAACGAGUGGCGGACGGGUGAGUAAUGUCUGGGAAAAUGCCUGAUGGAGGGGGAUAACUACUGGAAACGGUAGCUAAUACCGCAUACCAUCGGAUGUGCCCAGGUGUGAUUAGCUAGUUGGUGGGGUAAUGGCUAAACUAGGCGAUGAUCCCUAGCUGGUCUGAGAGGGUGACCAGCCAAACUGGAAAUGAGACACGGUCCAGACUCCUACGGGAGGCAGCAGUGGGGAAUAUUGCGCAAUGGGCGAAAGCCUGAUGCAGCCAUGCCGCGUGUAUGAAUAAGGCCUUCGGGUUGUAAAGUACUUUCAGCGGGGAGGCGUUACCCGCAGAAGAAGCACCGGCUAACUCCGUGCCAGCAGCCGCGGUAAUAC
rnacentral:rRNA from 1 species